AUUGAACGCUGGCGGCAUGCUUUACACAUGCAAGUCGAACGGUAACAGGCCGCAAGGUGCUGACGAGUGGCGAACGGGUGAGUAAUGCAUCGGAACGUGCCCAGUCGUGGGGGAUAACGCAGCGAAAGCUGCGCUAAUACCGCAUACGAUCUAUGGAUGAAAGCGGGGGACCGUCAGGCCGCGCGCGUUUGGAGCGGCCGAUGUCAGAUUAGGUAGUUGGUGGGGUAAAGGCUCACCAAGCCAACGAUCUGUAGCUGGUCUGAGAGGACGACCAGCCACACUGGGACUGAGACACGGCCCAGACUCCUACGGGAGGCAGCAGUGGGGAAUUUUGGACAAUGGGCGCAAGCCUGAUCUAGCAAUGCCGCGUGCAGGAAGAAGGCCUUCGGGUUGUAAACUGCUUUUGUACGGAACGAAACGACUCUGGUUAAUACCUGGGGCUAAUGACGGUACCGUAAGAAUAAGCACCGGCUAACUACGUGCCAGCCGCCGCGGUAACAC
rnacentral:rRNA from 1 species